AGUAAUGUAAGAGAUAGGAAAGUUGAAGUUUGUGGGUUAUAGAAUGACAUAUGGCUAUGUGAUGAGCUGAUAUUGAUGGAAGUCAAUAAUCUCUAAUAAUCAAAAAGGCUAGGCAAAGGGCUUUGUGUUUGAAACCCUUGUUUGACAUAGGUUUGAAAUGCCUUUUGAGAUUAAGCAACUUGAAAUGUAGAUUACUUGGUAGGCUUUCUCUCCCUAUGUAGUAUGGGGGAAAGGUGAAAGGCCAGGUGCUUGGAUGGUUCUGUUAGUUCUUCCUAUCCUUUUUCAUGUAAGUGGGAAAGAUCUCUAAUAGUCAAAGAGGCUAGGCAAGGGGCUAUAUUGAUGGAGCCUUUGUUUGACAUGGAUUUGAAACGUCUCUGGUGAUUGGUCUAUUUUGACUAAUAUGAAAAAGAAGAGCACCUGAUAUUGUUGAGAAGGGCAACCAGAUAACUGGACUGGCCAUGGGAAAGGUGGAGGAGAAGACUGUGCCCAUAUCUCUAACAAUGGAAAGUGGAAUGAUGCCCUUUGUAGCAAAAAUAACUGUGUGAGAAGGAGAGGAGAAUAAAGUGAUGUAGAAACGGAAGAACCUUUGGAUGUCAAAUUUACAUGAUCACUUCUCUAACCCAAGAUGUAAUAAAACUUUUUUUUCCACACCCCAAA